rnacentral:rRNA from 1 species
UAGGGAAUCUUCCACAAUGGACGCAAGUCUGAUGGAGCAACGCCGCGUGAGUGAAGAAGGGUUUCGGCUCGUAAAGCUCUGUUGUUAAAGAAGAACGUGGGUAAGAGUAACUGUUUACCCAGUGACGGUAUUUAACCAGAAAGCCACGGCUAACUACGUGCCCAG